rnacentral:rRNA from 1 species
AUUGAACGCUGGCGGCAGGCCUAACACAUGCAAGUCGAGCGGAUGAAGGGUGCUUUCUCCUGGAUUCAGCGUCGGACGGGUGUGUAAUUCCUAUGAAUCUGCCUGGUAUUGGGUUAUAACGUCCGUAAACGGGCGCUAAUACCGCAUACUUCCUGAUGUAGCAAGUUGGUGAUCUUCUGACCUCACGCUUUCAGUUGAGCCUAGGUCGGAUUAGCUAGUUGGUUGGGUAAAUUCCUACCAAGGCGACGAUCCGUAACUGGUCUGAGAGGAUGAUCAGUCACACUGGAACUGAGACACGGUAAAGAGUACUACGGGAGGCAGCAGUGGGGAAUAUUGGACAAUGGGCGAAAGAAUGAAACAGCAAUGCCGAGUGUGAGAAGAAGGUGUUAGGAUUGUAAAGAACUUUAAGUUGGGAGGAAGGGCAGUAAGUUAAUAACAAGCUGUUGUGACGUUAACAACAGAAUAAGCACCGGCUAACUACGUG